rnacentral:rRNA from 1 species
GCUUAACCGAAGAAGGGCAUCGGAAACUGGAUGACUUGAGUGCAGAAGAGGGCAGUGGAACUCCAUGUGUAGCGGUGGAAUGCGUAGAUAUAUGGAAGAACACCAGUGGCGAAGGCGGCUGCCUAGUCUGCAACUGACGCUGAGGCUCGAAAGCAUGGGUAGCGAACAGGAUUAGAUACCCUGGUAGUCCAUGCCGUAAACGAUGAGUGCUAGGUGUUGGAGGGUUUCCGCCCUUCAGUGCCGCAGCUAACGCAAUAAGCACUCCGCCUGGGGAGUACGACCGCAAGGUUGAAACUCAAAGGAAUUGACGGGGGCCCGCACAAGCGGUGGAGCAUGUGGUUUAAUUCGAAGCUACGCGAAGAACCUUACCAGGUCUUGACAUCUUGCGCUAACCUAAGAGAUUAGGCGUUCCCUUCGGGGACGCAAUGACAGGUGGUGCAUGGUCGUCGUCAGCUCGUGUCGUGAGAUGUUGGGUUAAGUCCCGCAACGAGCGCAACCCUUGUAACUAGUUGCCAGCAUUCAGUUGGGCACUCUAGUGAGACUGCCGGUGACAAACCGGAGGAAGGUGGGGACGACGUCAGAUCAUCAUGCCCCUUAUGACCUGGGCUACACACGUGCUACAAUGGACGGUACAACG